UAGGUGAUAUGGCUCUGUCCUUCCUUGC
rnacentral:piRNA from 1 species